GCUGGCGGCGUGCUUAACACAUGCAAGUCGAGCGGUAAGGCCCCUUCGGGGGUACACGAGCGGCGAACGGGUGAGUAGCACGUGAGUAAUCUGCCCUUCACUUCGGGAUAACCGCCGGAAACGGUGGCUAAUACCGGAUACGACGCACUCCUGCAUGGGAUGUGCGUGGAAAGUCUUCUCGGUGAAGGAUGUGCUCGUGGCCUAUCAGCUUGUUGGUGGGGUAACGGCCCACCAAGGCUUCGACGGGUAGCCGGCCUGAGAGGGUGACCGGCCACACUGGGACUGAGACACGGCCCAGACUCCUACGGGAGGCAGCAGUGGGGAAUAUUGGACAAUGGGCGAAAGCCUGAUCCAGCAACGCCGCGUGAGGGAUGACGGCCUUCGGGUUGUAAACCUCUUUCAGUACCGACGAAGCGCCAAUAACGGUGGUGACGGUAGGUACAGAAGAAGGACCGGCCAACUACGUGCCAGCAGCCGCGGUAAUACGUAGGGUCCGAGCGUUGUCCGGAAUUAUUGGGCGUAAAGGGCUCGUAGGCGGUCUGUUGCGUCGGGAGUGAAAACUUACAGCUUAACUGUGAGCGUGCUUUCGAUAC
rnacentral:rRNA from 1 species